rnacentral:lncRNA from 1 species
UUCUACCCCCUGAUGGUUGCAACAAUUGAACUUUUGGAAUUGGAUAGAUGGUGGAACUUUCUUUUGCCGUUGGUGAGUGCAGUCUGUUGUCUUACCAUUUUCUAUACCAUAAAGGAAAGACAUAGGAGUACAUCAAAGCCUUUAUAGGAAUACUGGAACAUAUUAUUAAUCUAUUAUAUGUGCAGGAAACUCGUUCUCACCAUUUCUCUUUUCGGUAACAUCUCUGCUCCGUUCCCUGAACAGUGUUAUCAAAGGCGAAAAGCGCAAAAAAGCUCUAAGGUCUAUUGGGGCUUUAAGCGCAAAGCGGAGAUAAAGCAUGGGCUUUAAUGAAAAAAGGCGCAACUAGAGAAAAAGUAAAAAUAUGUAUAUGUAAUCCAAAACCAAUAAUCAUAAGCAUAAAUAACAAAUAUAUGGACAAAGAAAUUGAAAAAAAUUUACGACAAAGUGAAAUAUCAAUUGCUUAGUGUCGCCUUUUCAGGAUCACAUUCAUUGGCAAGGAAAAGUAUGCCUUAGAGCCUUGAUGCGACAUUGAAGCGCUCGCAAAGCUAGGCGAAGUGCUCAACCUGUUUUGAGCCUCGCUUCAGGGCUUAAGCGCGCGUUUGACAACACUGUCCCUGAACUGUUUAGUAUUGCUUUUGCCUCACCUUUAAUGUGUGAGUGUGGGAUGUAAUCUUAUUUAUUUUUACUGUAAUACUUUCAAGUUUGACAAAUAUUGCAUGUAAUAGGUACAACAAGGUGAUGUUGGUGGAAGUGAUGAAGUUCAUGAAGUGCAAUUCAAUAUAAAAAGGACAGACAUGUCCAAUGGCAUGCUGAAACAAAUGAGAGCCUCAAAAACAACAUUGUUCAGAAGGCUGUUAUUACCUCUUCACUGCUUUCUCUUUUAAAUAUCUCAAGAGCUUGGAUAUGUGUGGGCUCAUCGUAUUUCAAAGCUUAGAUAGAAAGAAAGAGGUCGUGUUGUUCUGAGAUGGAAAAACAUUCAUACUGACAGCAGAGCUAUGAUUUCCUCCUUAAUACUUCUGUAAACUAUAUGCAUAGCUGAAUGGGUUGAGGAAUGUGUUAGAUUUGCUCAUUCGCAGUUGUUAACACGGGGAUAAAUUGUUCAUGAACACGUUUUUGUAAGUAGCUAUUUUUUGUAACAGGUCAUUUUUCAUGUAAUACGUGUUAGUAUUCGAUUGAAUUUUUGGAGGAGAAUAAGUUGAGGUUUAAUAGUUCUUUUAAGAGAAAUGAGUCAGGGUGAUGCAAUACAGUUGUGGCUGCUCAGUUUCUUUGCUUGACAACAAAGAGAGUACUUCGUUUGCAUUACCAAAAACCUACUUAUAUUGGUUUUGUAAAGUUUUUGCCUUAAAGUUUUAGUAGAAAAUUGUCCCUCUGCAGUUUGACAUUACCAAAAUCAAUGGCUUCCUGAGGCCUCCUUUUGAUCUCUAUUCUCCAUUUGCUAAUCAUGAAAUGAAGUUGCAAUGCAUGUAAUAGAACUUUUGAUGCCAGCAGACUGAAUUCAAUUUCCUAUUUUGUUUUGCUACACUUUCUUGAUCGCGAUCAGGGGAGAUAUUGAGCAGUAUUUCUCUGCAAGUUGUCCAUUAUUCG